rnacentral:rRNA from 2 species
UAGAGUUUUGAUCAUGGCUCAGGACGAACGCUGGCGGCGUGCCUAAUACAUGCAAGUCGAACGAACUCUGGUAUUGAUUGGUGCUUGCAUCAUGAUUUACAUUUGAGUGAGUGGCGAACUGGUGAGUAACACGUGGGAAACCUGCCCAGAAGCGGGGGAUAACACCUGGAAACAGAUGCUAAUACCGCAUAACAACUUGGACCGCAUGGUCCGAGUUUGAAAGAUGGCUUCGGCUAUCACUUUUGGAUGGUCCCGCGGCGUAUUAGCUAGAUGGUGGGGUAACGGCUCACCAUGGCAAUGAUACGUAGCCGACCUGAGAGGGUAAUCGGCCACAUUGGGACUGAGACACGGCCCAAACUCCUACGGGAGGCAGCAGUAGGGAAUCUUCCACAAUGGACGAAAGUCUGAUGGAGCAACGCCGCGUGAGUGAAGAAGGGUUUCGGCUCGUAAAACUCUGUUGUUAAAGAAGAACAUAUCUGAGAGUAACUGUUCAGGUAUUGACGGUAUUUAACCAGAAAGCCACGGCUAACUACGUGCCAGCAGCCGCGGUAAUACGUAGGUGGCAAGCGUUGUCCGGAUUUAUUGGGCGUAAAGCGAGCGCAGGCGGUUUUUUAAGUCUGAUGUGAAAGCCUUCGGCUCAACCGAAGAAGUGCAUCGGAAACUGGGAAACUUGAGUGCAGAAGAGGACAGUGGAACUCCAUGUGUAGCGGUGAAAUGCGUAGAUAUAUGGAAGAACACCAGUGGCGAAGGCGGCUGUCUGGUCUGUAACUGACGCUGAGGCUCGAAAGUAUGGGUAGCAAACAGGAUUAGAUACCCUGGUAGUCCAUACCGUAAACGAUGAAUGCUAAGUGUUGGAGGGUUUCCGCCCUUCAGUGCUGCAGCUAACGCAUUAAGCAUUCCGCCUGGGGAGUACGGCCGCAAGGCUGAAACUCAAAGGAAUUGACGGGGGCCCGCACAAGCGGUGGAGCAUGUGGUUUAAUUCGAAGCUACGCGAAGAACCUUACCAGGUCUUGACAUACUAUGCAAAUCUAAGAGAUGACGUUCCCUUCGGGGACAUGGAUACAGGUGGUGCAUGGUUGUCGUCAGCUCGUGUCGUGAGAUGUUGGGUUAAGUCCCGCAACGAGCGCAACCCUUAUUAUCAGUUGCCAGCAUUAAGUUGGGCACUCUGGUGAGACUGCCGGUGACAAACCGGAGGAAGGUGGGGAUGACGUCAAAUCAUCAUGCCCCUUAUGACCUGGGCUACACACGUGCUACAAUGGAUGGUACAACGAGUUGCGAACUCGCGAGAGUAAGCUAAUCUCUUAAAGCCAUUCUCAGUUCGGAUUGUAGGCUGCAACUCGCCUACAUGAAGUCGGAAUCGCUAGUAAUCGCGGAUCAGCAUGCCGCGGUGAAUACGUUCCCGGGCCUUGUACACACCGCCCGUCACACCAUGAGAGUUUGUAACACCCAAAGUCGGUGGGGUAACCUUUUAGGAACCAGCCGCCUAAGGUGGGACAGAUGAUUAGGGUGAAGUCGUAACAAGGUAGCCGUAGGAGAACCUGCGGUUGGAUCACCCUCCUUA